rnacentral:rRNA from 1 species
UACGUAGGGGGCAAGCGUUGUCCGGAAUCAUUGGGCGUAAAGCGCGCGUAGGCGGCUCGAUCAGUCUGCUGUAAAAGUCAAAGGCUCAACCUUUGAAUGCCGGUGGAUACUGUCGAGCUAGAGUCCGGAAGAGGCGAGUGGAAUUCCUGGUGUAGCGGUGGAAUGCGCAGAUAUCAGGAGGAACACCAAUUGCGAAGGCAGCUCGCUGGGACGUUACUGACGCUGAGACGCGAAAGCGUGGGGAGCAAACAGG